UAGCUAGUUGGUGGGGUAAGGGCCUACCAAGGCGACGAUCGGUAGCUGGUCUGAGAGGAUGACCAGCCACACUGGAACUGAGACACGGUCCAGACUCCUACGGGAGGCAGCAGUGGGGAAUAUUGGACAAUGGGGGCAACCCUGAUCCAGCAAUGCCGCGUGUGUGAAGAAGGCCUGAGGGUUGUAAAGCACUUUCAGUGGGGAGGAGGGUUGAUAGGUUAAGAGCUAAUUAACUGGACGUUACCCACAGAAGAAGCACCGGCUAACUCCGUGCCAGCAGCCGCGGUAAUACGGAGGGUGCGAGCGUUAAUCGGAAUUACUGGGCGUAAAGGGUGCGUAGGCGGUUGAUUAAGUUAUCUGUGAAAUUCCUGGGCUUAACCUGGGACGGUCAGAUAAUACUGGUUGACUCGAGUAUGGGAGAGGGUAGUGGAAUUUCCGGUGUAGCGGUGAAAUGCGUAGAGAUCGGAAGGAACACCAGUGGCGAAGGCGGCUACCUGGCCUAAUACUGACACUGAGGCACGAAAGCGUGGGGAACAAACAGGAUUAGAUACCCUGGUAGUCCACGCUGUAAACGAUGUCAACUAGCUGUUGGUUAUAUGAAAAUAAUUAGUGGCGC
rnacentral:rRNA from 1 species